rfam:Cricetulus griseus cell line CHO-K1, whole genome shotgun sequence.
CUCAUUAAGGUGGGUGGAAUAGUAUAACAAUAAAUCGUGCAUUGUUAUAGUAUUCCACCUUCCCUGAUGUC